rnacentral:rRNA from 1 species
GACGGAGGAUGCAAGUGUUAUCCGGAAUCACUGGGCGUAAAGCGUCUGUAGGUGGUCAAAUAAGUCAACUGUUAAAUCUUGAGGCUCAACCUCAAAAUCGCAGUCGAAACUAUUCGACUAGAGUAUAGUAGGGGUAAAGGGAAAUUCCAGUGGAGCGGUGAAAUGCGUAGAUAUUGGGAAGAACACCGGUGGCGAAGGCGGCUCACUGGCUCGUAACUGACGCUCAUGCACGACAGCGUGGGAUCAAACAGG